AUUUAUAUAGUUUAAAUAAAACAUUACAUUUUCACUGUAAAAAUAAAGGCUUCACUUUUAUAAAUA
rnacentral:tRNA from 1 species